rnacentral:rRNA from 1 species
UACGGAGGGUGCAAGCGUUAUCCGGAUUUACUGGGUUUAAAGGGUGCGUAGGUGGAUUUGUAAGUCAGUGGUGAAAUCUCCGGGCUUAACCCGGAAACUGCCAUUGAUACUAUUUGUCUUGAAUACCGUGGAGGUCAGCGGAAUAUGUCAUGUAGCGGUGAAAUGCUUAGAUAUGACAUAGAACACCAAUUGCGAAGGCAGCUGGCUACACGAAUAUUGACACUGAUGCACGAAAGCGUGGGGAUCAAACAGG